UACAGAGGGUGCGAGCGUUAAUCGGAAUUACUGGGCGUAAAGCGCGCGUAGGCGGCCUGUUAAGUCAAAUGUGAAAUCCCCGAGCUUAACUUGGGCAUUGCAUUCGAUACUGGCAAGCUAGAGUAUGGGAGAGGAAGGUAGAAUUCCAGGUGUAGCGGUGAAAUGCGUAGAGAUCUGGAGGAAUACCGAUGGCGAAGGCAGCCUUCUGGCCUAAUACUGACGCUGAGGUGCGAAAGCAUGGGGAGCAAACAGG
rnacentral:rRNA from 1 species